rnacentral:rRNA from 1 species
CGGAGCGACACCGCGUGAAGGAUGAUGGUUCUCGGAUUGUAAACUUCUUYYCUGGGGGAACAUUAUGAGAGUACCCCAGGAAUAAGCCCCSGCUAACUACGUGCCAGCAGCCGCGGUAAUACGUAGGGGGCAGGCGUUAUCCGGAAUCACUGGGCGUAAAGCGUCCGCAGGUGGGAAAGCAAGUUACAUGUGAAAUACCGGUGCUCAACAUCGGAAUUGUAUGUAAAACUACUUUUCUAGAGGAUGGGAGAGGCAAGUGGAAUUCUCGGUGUAGGGGUAAAAUCCAUAGAUAUCGAGAGGAACACCAAAAGCGAAGGCAGCUUGCUGGAACAUUCCUGACACUCAUGGACGAAAGCGUGGGGAGCGAAAAGGAUUAGAUACCCUUGUAGUCCACGCCCUAAACGAUGAGUACUCGGUGUAGGGGGAGUCGAUCCCCCCUGUGCCUAAGCUAACGCGUUAAGUACUCCGCCUGAGUAGUACGGCCGCAAGGCUAAAACUCAAAGGAAUAGACGGGGACCCACACAAGCGGUGGAGCAUGUGGUUCAAUUCGACAGUAAGCGAGGAACCUUACCAGGUCUUGACAUCCAGCGAAUCUUGCAGAAAUGCAGGAGUGCCCGCAAGGGAACGCUGAGACAGGUGCUGCAUGGUUGUCGUCAGCUCGAGCCUUGAGGUGUGCGGUUAAGUCCGUGAUCGAGCGCAACCCUCGCCCUUAGUUAUAUA